UUGAGUAAACUGUGAUUUUCUGAAAAUGUGUUGUGUCUGAGUAAAAACUAUGUCAUCACCGGUAAUAGAAGUAAACAGUAGAAACCAAAAUGGCGGACAGUGACCUACUUCUGUGAUGGAUUAAAAUGAGUUUUCGUUAACAUAUAAGGGAUGUUUACAAGUGUGAAUGCAUGUUGGCCUGGAUGCUGCAAUGCCUCCCAUAUCUUCCGAAUGUCCAAGCUUGGACAGCAUAUGGCCAAUCACCAUCAAGAUUGCACUUUUAAAUCUUUUGGUUCAAUAUAUGUAAUCCUCAAUGUUGAUUAUGUCCACUACUAUUAAAACAAUCAGUGUUUAUCCCCAAGGUCAAGUUUACAUUAUUAAAAAAGAACUUUAAUUUUGAGACAUUUUCAUGGUUACAAGUUAUCAAAAUAAUGUUAAUGGUAAAUACUACUGCUUUACAUACUUAUAACUUGUUUCCAGCAGACCACAUAUCUUAUUUUGGUUUAAAAUUGCCAUAUUUCUUUCAAUGAUUAUGCAAUUUUUAAUUAACUAUUAUAGUACAUGUAACUAUCUACAAUGAGGUGUUAUAUUCUUUUCAGAUCCUGAACGUGGAUAUCUUUUAGGAGAUAGUGGAAACCCUGUCCGGCCUUUCCUGCUGACCCCGUUCCUUCAGCCAGACAGAAGCUCAGGAAAGGUACAAUGCUGCGCACAUCGGCACCGGGAACGGUAUUGAAAGGGCCUUUGGGGUUUGAAAGAGAACCUUUCAUGUCCUCCAGGG